GAAGGACAAUUGGUUGGAAAGACUGUUCUAUAGCUGCCAGAGACUGGAUAAGCGUGACCAGUCAACAAUUCCACGCAAUCUCCUGAAGACAGAUGCUAUCCUUUGGCAGUGGGCCAUAUGGGAAGCUGCACAAUUCACUGUUCUUUCUAAGCUGAGAACCCCACUGGGCAGAGCUCAAGACACCUUCCAGACAAUUGAAGGUAUCAUUCGAAGUCUCGCAGGUCACACAUUAAACCCUGAUCAGGAUGUUAGUCAGUGGACAACUGCAGACAGUGAUGAAGGCCAUGGUAACAACCAACUUAGACUUGUUCUUCUUCUGCAGUAUCUGGAAAAUCUGGAGAAAUUAAUGUAUAAUGCAUACGAGGGAUGUGCUAAUGCCUUAACUUCACCUCCCAAGG
rnacentral:lncRNA from 1 species